rnacentral:ncRNA from 1 species
UCGAGCCAAUGUCCGAGUACCAAGCGCUACAGUGUUGAAGUAACCCAUGCCAUACUCCCAGGAAAAUCUCGAACGACCUUUAACAAAUGGUUACCUGUACCUGAAAUCGACACACGUAGCUAGGUAGAGAAUACCUAUGGGCGUGAGACAACUCUCUCUAAGGAACUCGACAAAAUAUCCCCAUAACUUUGGGAGAAGCGGUGCCUCCUCAGGAGGUCGCAGUCACUAGGCCCGAGUGAUUGUUUACCAAAAACACAGGUCUCUGCAAAGUCAUAAGACCAUGUAUGGGGGUUGACACCUGCCCAGUGUCGGAAGGUUAAGGAUGUUGGUGACCUGAUGACGGGGAAUCCAGCGACCGAAGCCCCAGUAAACGGUGGUCGUAACUAUAUUGGUCCUAAGGUAGCGAAAUUCCUUGUCGAGUAAGUUUUGACCCGCACGAAAGGCAUAACGAUCUGGGCAUUGUCUCGGAGAGAGACUCAGUGAAAUCAACAUGUCUGUGAAGAUGCGGACUACCUGCACUUGGACAAAAAGACCUUAUGAAGCUUUGUUGUUCCCUGGGAUUGUCUUUGGGUUCUUCUUGCGCAUCUUAGAUGGAAGGCGAAGAAGGCUCCCUUCUAGGGGGUCCUGAGCCACCAGUGAGAUACCACUCUAGAAGAGUUAUAAUUAUAACCUUGUGUCAGGAUCUACGGGCCAAGGGACAGUCUCAGGUAGACAUUUUCUAUGGGGCAUAGGCCUCCCAAAAGGUAACAGAGGCGUGAAAAGGUUACCUCGAGCUGGACGAAAAUCGACCCUCGAGUGCAAAGGCAGAAGGGAGCUUCACUGCAAGACCCACCCGUCGAGCAGGGACGAAAGUCGGCCUUAGUGAUCCGACAGUGCCGAGUGGAAGGGUUGUCGUUCAACGGAUAAAAUUUACUCUAGGGAUAACAGGUUGAUCUUCCCCAGGAGUUCACAUCGACGGGAAGGUUUGGCACCUCAAUGUCGUCUCUUCACCACCUGGGGCGGUAGUACAUUCCAAGGGUUGGGUUGCUCGCCCAUUAAAGAGGUACAUGAGUUGGGUUCAGAACGUCGUGAGACAUUUCAUUCCAUAUCCGGUGUGGGCAUUAGUUCAUUGAGAGGACCUUUCCGUAGUAUGAGAGGACUAGGAAGGACGCACCUAUGGUGUACCAUUUAUCGUGCCCACAGUAGACGUUGGGUAGCCAAGUGCAAAUUGGAUAACUACUAAAAGAAUAUAAGUAGGAAUCCCACCCCAAGAUGAGUGCUCUCCUAUUCUAUCCUUCCUUGCACAGGAUGGAGCAACAAAAGUAUUGAGAAUCCAAGAUAAGGUCACGACGAGAUGAGUCAUUUAUCAUUAUGAUAAGUGUCAAAUGGAAGUGCAGUGAUGUAUGCAGUUGAGGCAUCCUAACAGACUGAUAUAUUUGAACCU